rnacentral:lncRNA from 1 species
GAAAACAUAGCUUACUUUAUUUCCUGGGUAACUGCUUGGUGCAAAAAUACUGACCCAAGGAAAUCAUGACAUGGGACAGUUGAACUAUUUAUCUGCAUAAUUUUCAUUUUGUUCUUUCUGGUUUCUUUUUGGUUUAGGGAAAUGUAAACAUUGUGUUUCUUCUGAGCACAGUAUAAGCAUUUCUUCACAUCAUCAAUGAAAGCUUAAAGGCACUUCCAAAAGACUGGAGAGGAGUUCACGGUGGUGAAAAACGUCACAUUGCUGUGAGGUACGGUGCAAAUUCUGCUGGAUUCUGGUCUUCUGUUGAAAGUAGUAGUCCAUUCACUAUUGACUCUGGAGCUACAAUGUUUGUAUCACUGCCACUCUGUUAGCCUCAGAAAGGGGCUGGGAGAAAGUAUUACUAAUAUUUGCAGUUACAGUUGACUAUUGUCCAUGUGCACCCUCAAGGCAGGACUAUUUUUUUCUCAUUAACUUCCUGGUCAUAUGCAGCUUUGGCAGGUGGGGGAUGAAAAUGUAAAUGUUAGGGUAGCCAGACAAACACAUCUGGAAAGCUGCCUUGCAUGAAGAGAUGUUCCUUUGCACAAAUUCAGAAGGCCUCUUUGAAUAGAUAAUGACUGGAUCACCCUACUUAAUGACUUUAACUUUCAUGUCAGAGGAAUCAAUGGUUUUGAGGAUAGGAACUAAAGUUCCAUU